GACGGAGGGGGCUAGCGUUGUUCGGAAUGACUGGGCGUAAAGGGCGCGUAGGCGGUUUUUUAAGUGAGGCGUGAAAGCCCUGGGCUUAACCCAGGAAUUGCGCUUCAGACUGGAAGACUGGAGUACGAGAGAGGAAAGCGGAAUUCCUAGUGUAGAGGUGAAAUUCGUAGAUAUUAGGAAGAACACCAGUGGCGAAGGCGGCUUUCUGGCUCGUAACUGACGCUGAGGCGCGAAAGCGUGGGGAGCAAAC
rnacentral:rRNA from 1 species